CACGUAGGAUCCAAGCGUUAUCCGGAUUUACUGGGCGUAAAGCGCGUGUAGGUGGUUUGCUAAGUUGGGUGUUAAAUCUCUCGGCUCAACUGGGAGGUGUCGCUCAAAACUAGCAGACUGGAGGAUGGUAGAGGGAGGUGGAAUUCCGGGUGUAGUGGUGAAAUGCGUAGAUAUCCGGAGGAACACCAGUGGCGAAGGCGGCCUCCUGGACCAUUCCUGACACUCCAACGCGAAAGCUAGGGGAGCAAACGGG
rnacentral:rRNA from 1 species